CACGAACCCGAGAAACGUUAUUCGGAAUUAUUGGGCUUAAAGGGUGCGUAGGCGGUGCGGUAAGUGAGGUGUGAAAUCCCUCGGCUCAACCGAGGAAUUGCGCUUCAUACUGCCGUGCUGGAGGGAGACAGGGGUAAGCGGAACUGAUGGUGGAGCGGUGAAAUGCGUUGAUAUCAUCAGGAACACCGGUGGCGAAAGCGGCUUACUGGGUCUCUUCUGACGCUGAGGCACGAAAGCUAGGGUAGCGAACGGG
rnacentral:rRNA from 1 species